rnacentral:rRNA from 1 species
GACGAACGCUGGCGGCGUGCUUAACACAUGCAAGUCGAACGGAAAGGCCCUGCUUUUGUGGGGUGCUCGAGUGGCGAACGGGUGAGUAACACGUGAGUAACCUGCCCUUGACUUUGGGAUAACUUCAGGAAACUGGGGCUAAUACCGGAUAGGAGCUCCUGCUGCAUGGUGGGGGUUGGAAAGUUUCGGCGGUUGGGGAUGGACUCGCGGCUUAUCAGCUUGUUGGUGGGGUAGUGGCUUACCAAGGCUUUGACGGGUAGCCGGCCUGAGAGGGUGACCGGCCACAUUGGGACUGAGAUACGGCCCAGACUCCUACGGGAGGCAACAGUGGGGAAUAUUGCACAAUGGGCGGAAGCCUGAUGCAGCAACGCCGCGUGCGGGAUGACGGCCUUCGGGUUGUAAACCGCUUUCGCCUGUGACGAAGCGUGAGUGACGGUAACGGGUAAAGAAGCACCGGCUAACUACGUG